GACCUAACCCCUUCAGAUCCCUGGAGGAUAUGGUCGGGAAAACCCAACGAAGAUACUGAACCCCGCGUUCAGCGACUCUUCGUUGGGUCAUAUCGGGAAACCGGUAUGGGGCCGUAAGGCCU
rnacentral:sRNA from 1 species